rnacentral:rRNA from 1 species
AGUGAACGCUGGCGGCAGGCCUAACACAUGCAAGUCGAACGGAGUGGGGGAGGGGUGUGUAAUGUCUGGGAAACUGCCUGGUAGUGGGGGAUAACGUCGGGAAACGGGGCCUAAUACCGCAUACUAUCAGAUGAGCGUAGGUCGGAUUCGCUAGUGGGUGGGGUAAAGGCCUACCAAGGCGACGGUCCGUCACUGGUCUGAGAGGUUGAGCAGUCACACUGGAACUGCGACACGGUCCAGACUCCUACGGGAGGCAGCAGUGGGGAAUCUUGGGCAAUGGGCGAAAGCCUGAUGCAGCCAUGCCGCGCGUGUGAAGAAGGUCUUCGGAUUGUAAAACACUCUAAGUUGGGAUGCGGUCCCAACAGAGUCAGCCCCGGCUAACUUCGUGCCAGCAGCCGCGGUAAUUC